rnacentral:rRNA from 1 species
CCUACGGGAGGCAGCAGUGAGGAAUAUUGGUCAAUGGACGGAAGUCUGAACCAGCCAUGCAGCGUGAAGGAAGACGGCUCUAUGAGUUGUAAACUGCUUUUGUACAGGGAUAAACUUGAAUACGUGUAUUCAGCUGCAAGUACCGUAUGAAUAAGGAUCGGCUAACUCCGUGCCAGCAGCCGCGGUAAUACGGAGGAUCCAAGCGUUAUCCGGAUUUAUUGGGGUUAAAGGGAGCGUAGGUGGAUUGUUAAGUCAGUUGUGAAAGUUUGCGGCUCAACCGUAAAAUUGCAGUUGAAACUGGCAGUCUUGAGUACAGUAGAGGUGGGCGGAAUUCGUGGUGUAGCGGUGAAAUGCUUAGAUAUCACGAAGAACUCCGAUUGCGAAGGCAGUUUGCUGGACUGCAACUGACGCUGAGGCUCGAAAGUGUGGGUAUCAAACAGGAUUAGAUACCCGGGUAGUC